rnacentral:rRNA from 1 species
AUUGAACGCUGGCGGCAUGCCUUACACAUGCAAGUCGAACGGCAGCACGGGUGCUUGCACCUGGUGGCGAGUGGCGAACGGGUGAGUAAUACAUCGGAACGUACCUUAUCGUGGGGGAUAACGCAGCGAAAGCUGUGCUAAUACCGCAUACGCCCUGAGGGGGAAAGCGGGGGAUCGAAAGACCUCGCGCGAUUAGAGCGGCCGAUGCCUGAUUAGCUUGUUGGUGGGGUAAAAGCCCACCAAGGCGACGAUCAGUAGCUGGACUGAGAGGACGAUCAGGCGCACGUGGAAUGGGACACGGCCCAGACUCCUACGGGAGGCAGCGGUGGGGAAUUUUGGACAAUGGGGGCAACCCUGAUCCAGCAAUGCCGCGUGAGUGAAGAAGGCCUUCGGGUUGUAAAGCUCUUUUGUCAGGGAAGAAACACCGGCUCUAACACAGUCCGGGAAUGACGGUACCUGAAGAAUAAGCACCGGCUAACUACGUGCCAGCAGCCGCGGUAA